GGCCCCCAUUUCCCAAAUGCCUACUAUAUUUCAGGAUUUCUCAGCAAGGACUGGUAGAACUUGACUUGACUGCCAGCUUUUAUCUGCAGGACCGGACUUCACAAAGCAGGGUGAAAGAAUUUGCAUGAUCUCCAUGGUGGCUAAUCAUAUAAUUUCCAGUUUCAGCAGCUGGCACCAGCUAUUUGCUCCCCCGCUACCCAAGCAAUUCUAGUAACUGUGAGAUAUCCUAUGAAUCACAGAACAAAUGCCCAACUCCUUUCUACAGUCACGGGGUCAGAGUACACAGCCAACCCACUAGCAGAGCUGGAGUUAUGGUUUGAGCCAAAGUACAACAAGGAAGGAGGAAGCCCCAACCUACCCCGGACAUGCCCUGAAUGACACAGCCAUUUAGGGCCUGCCAAAGAUGCCAUUCUGUUUGCAAACACAUAUUACCUGCCAUAUCACUCAACAAAAUAAUUCCAUCAGAAGGCCUGAAGGCAAAUGACUAAUGUUAAAAGUGGCCCAUGCAUCAUUUCAGUGACAACUCCACAGGCGCCAAUUAAACAUGGAAAAGACCUGUUCUGAAGCAUGCCCAUCUGGCAUUUCCCAAGGAACUGUAGUCAAUGGCUGAUAAAACAUACAUGAUCAUAACUAUAAAGAAAUUUCGCAGCCCUCUCCUUGCUCAAAAGCAACCGGGGCCUAUGAGGACAAUGAACCUGGAAGACACCCAAAAGAGGAGGUGAGUAAAGAAAAGCCUGCAUUUGAAGCCACCACUGCUCUUCCUCAUGCACAGAAAGCAAAGAUCGGGAGUUGCAUGAGGUCAGAUUUUCAGCCACCAAAAACAAACAAACAAAAAAACCAACCAAACCUCAAAAAAAACCCAGACGGGUCUAGGGAAUACUUGGGAGUUUGUCUGGUAGUCUGUGGGUGAACUUCAAUUGUUAUGUCUCCGAGUGAAAUAAAGGAUUGGCAGUAGUCCAUCCCCUGCUUCUAGGAGUGCUUUCCAGUAUCAGCAUUUGUAGGACUUGCUCAGCACACCAGGCCAAACUCACUGUCCAAAUAUCCUUCCCUAGAAAACAUACAAUAACCACCUUCUGAGUGGAAGGAAGAGGACACAUUUAACAAAUGAUGUCAAGGCAUAAAACCUCCGGCAGAGAGACAGUGGCUGGAGCAGAAGUGCUUUUCAAGGCUGCAGUUCUAAAUCAGUCAGGCAGACACCUGUAUACAUACAUACAUACAGAGACAAAGCUUCAAACACCACCACCUCAUCACACCUAAUGACUGCCUGUGAUGAGAGUCUGCA
rnacentral:lncRNA from 1 species